AGAGUUUGAUCCUGGCUCAGAACGAACGCUGGCGGCAUGCCUAACACAUGCAAGUCGAACGAGACCUUCGGGUCUAGUGGCGCACGGGUGCGUAACGCGUGGGAACCUGCCUUUAGGUUCGGAAUAACUCCCCGAAAGGGGUGCUAAUACCGAAUAAUGUCUUCGGACCAAAGAUUUAUCGCCUUUAGAUGGGCCCGCGUAGGAUUAGCUAGUUGGUGGGGUAAAGGCCUACCAAGGCGACGAUCCUUAGCUGGUCUGAGAGGAUGAUCAGCCACACUGGGACUGAGACACGGCCCAGACUCCUACGGGAGGCAGCAGUGGGGAAUAUUGGACAAUGGGCGAAAGCCUGAUCCAGCAAUGCCGCGUGAGUGAUGAAGGCCUUAGGGUUGUAAAGCUCUUUUACCAGGGAUGAUAAUGACAGUACCUGGAGAAUAAGCUCCGGCUAACUCCGUGCCAGCAGCCGCGGUAAUACGGAGGGAGCUAGCGUUGUUCGGAAUUACUGGGCGUAAAGCGCACGUAGGCGGCGAUUCAAGUCAGAGGUGAAAGCCCGGGGCUCAACCCCGGAACUGCCUUUGAAACUAGAUUGCUAGAAUCCUGAACAGGUUAGUGGAAUUCCGAGUGUAGACGUGAAAUCCCUAGAUAUUCGGAAAAUCACCCCCGCCUAUGGUUA
rnacentral:rRNA from 1 species